UCCGGUUGAUCCUGCCGGACCUGACUGCUAUCGGAUUGAUACAAAGCCAUGCGAGUCAUUGUAGCAAUACAAGGCAUACGGCUCAGUAACGCGUAGUCAACCUAACCUAUGGACGGGAAUAACCUCGGGAAACUGAGAAUAAUGCCCGAUAGAACAUUAUACCUGGAAUGGUUUAUGUUCCAAAUGAUUUAUCGCCGUAGGAUGGGACUGCGGCCUAUCAGUUUGUUGGUGAGGUAAUGGCCCACCAAGACUAUUACAGGUACGGGCUCUGAGAGGAGUAGCCCGGAGAUGGGUACUGAGACACGGACCCAGGCCCUAUGGGGCGCAGCAGGCGAGAAAACUUUGCAAUGUGCGAAAGCACGACAAGGUUAAUCCGAGUGAUUUCUGCUAAAGAAAUCUUUUGAUAGUCAUAAAACCACUAAUGAAUAAGGGGUGGGCAAGUUCUGGUGUCAGCCGCCGCGGUAAAACCAGCACCUCAAGUGGUCAGGAGGAUUAUUGGGCCUAAAGCAUCCGUAGCCUGUUUUGUAAGUCUUCGGUUAAAUCCAUAUGCUCAACAUAUGGGCUGCCGGAGAUACUGUAAAACUAGGGAGUGGGAGAGGUAGACGGUACUUGAUAGGAAGGGGUAAAAUCCUUUGAUCUAUUGAUGACCACCUGUGGCGAAGGCGGUCUACCAGAACACGUUCGACGGUGAGGGAUGAAAGCUGGGGGAGCAAACCGGAUUAGAUACCCGGGUAGUCCCAGCUGUAAACGAUGCAGACUCGGUGAUGCAUUGGUUUAUUGCCAGUGCAGUGCCGCAGGGAAGCCGUUAAGUCUGCCGCCUGGGAAGUACGUACGCAAGUAUGAAACUUAAAGGAAUUGGCGGGGGAGCACCACA
rnacentral:rRNA from 1 species